rnacentral:rRNA from 1 species
GAUUAGCUAGUUGGUGAGGUAAAGGCUUACCAAGGCGUCGAUCAGUAGCUGGUCUGAGAGGACGACCAGCCACACUGGGACUGAGACACGGCCCAGACUCCUACGGGAGGCAGCAGUGGGGAAUUUUGGACAAUGGGGGAAACCCUGAUCCAGCCAUGCCGCGUGAGUGAAGAAGGCCUUCGGGUUGUAAAGCUCUUUCAGCCGGAACGAAACGGUCACGGCCAAUACCUGUGACUACUGACGGUACCGGAAGAAGAAGCACCGGCUAACUACGUGCCAGCAGCCGCGGUAAUACGUAGGGUGCGAGCGUUAAUCGGAAUUACUGGGCGUAAAGCGUGCGCAGGCGGUUUUGUAAGUCAGAUGUGAAAUCCCCGGGCUUAACCUGGGAACUGCGUUUGAA